rnacentral:rRNA from 1 species
AGAUGGCGACCGGCGCACGGGUGAGUAACACGUAUCCAACCUGCCGAUAACUCGGGGAUAGCCUUUCGAAAGAAAGAUUAAUACCCGAUGGUAUAAUCAGACCGCAUGGUUUGAUUAUUAAAGAAUUUCGGUUAUCGAUGGGGAUGCGUUCCAGUAGGCAGUUGGUGAGGUAACGGCUCACCAAACCUUCGAUGGAUAGGGGUUCUGAGAGGAAGGUCCCCCACAUUGGAACUGAGACACGGUCCAA